rnacentral:rRNA from 1 species
UACAGAGGGUGCAAGCGUUAAUCGGAAUUACUGGGCGUAUAGCGUGCGCAGGCGGUUUUGUAAGUCUGUCGUGAAAGCCCCGGGCUCAACCUGGGAAUUGCGAUGGAGACUGCAAGGCUUGAAUCUGGCAGAGGGGGGUAGAAUUCCACGUGUAGCAGUGAAAUGCGUAGAGAUGUGGAGGAACACCGAUGGCGAAGGCAGCCCCCUGGGUCAAGAUUGACGCUCAUGCACGAAAGCGUGGGGAGCAAACAGG